ACGCUGGCGGCGUGCCUAAUACAUGCAAGUAGAACGCUGAAGCUUGGUGCUUGCACCGAGCGGAUGGGUUGCGAACGGGUGAGUAACGCGUAGGUAACCUGCCUCUUAGCGGGGGAUAACUAUUGGAAACGAUAGCUAAUACCGCAUAAAAGUCGAUAUCGCAUGAUGUUGACUUGAAAGGUGCAAUUGCAUCACUAAGAGAUGGACCUGCGUUGUAUUAGCUAGUUGGUGAGGUAACGGCUCACCAAGGCGACGAUACAUAGCCGACCUGAGAGGGUGAUCGGCCACACUGGGACUGAGACACGGCCCAGACUCCUACGGGAGGCAGCAGUAGGGAAUCUUCGGCAAUGGGGGCAACCCUGACCGAGCAGCGCCGCGUGAGUGAAGAAGGUUUUCGGAUCGUAAAGCUCUGUUGUAAGAGAAGAACGAGUGUGAGAGUGGAAAGUUCACACUGUGACGGUAACUUACCAGAAAGGGACGGCUAACUACGUGCCAGCAGCCGCGGUAAUACGUAGGUCCCGAGCGUUAUCCGGAUUUAUUGGGCGUAAAGCGAGCGCAGGCGGUUAGAUAAGUCUGAAGUUAAAGGCUGUGGCUUAACCAUAGUACGCUUUGGAAACUGUUUAACUUGAGUGCAGAAGGGGAGAGUGGAAUUCCAUGUGUAGCGGUGAAAUGCGUAGAUAUAUGGAGGAACACCGGUGGCGAAAGCGGCUCUCUGGUCUGUAACUGACGCUGAGGCUCGAAAGCGUGGGGAGCAAACAGGAUUAGAUACCCUGGUAGUCCACGCCGUAAACGAUGAGUGCUAGGUGUUGGGUCCUUUCCGGGACUCAGUGCCGCAGCUAACGCAUUAAGCACUCCGCCUGGGGAGUACGACCGCAAGGUUGAAACUCAAAGGAAUUGACGGGGGCCCGCACAAGCGG
rnacentral:rRNA from 1 species